AGGAAGGCAGCUCAGUAGCAGAGUGCAUGCCUUGCAUGCAAAAGGUUUCAGGUUAAAUCCCUGGCCUUUCUA